GACGAACGCUGGCGGCGUGCCUAAUACAUGCAAGUCGAACGAGAGCGACCGGUGCUUGCACUGGUCAAUCUAGUGGCGAACGGGUGAGUAACACGUGGGUAACCUGCUCAUCAGAGGGGGAUAACAUCCGGAAACGGAUGCUAAAACCGCAUAGGUCUUCGAGCCGCAUGGCUUGAAGAGGAAAAGAGGCGCAAGCUUCUGCUGAUGGAUGGACCCGCGGUGCAUUAGCUAGUUGGUGAGGUAACGGCUCACCAAGGCCGUGAUGCGUAGCCGACCUGAGAGGGUGAUCGGCCACAUUGGGACUGAGACACGGCCCAAACUCCUACGGGAGGCAGCAGUAGGGAAUCUUCCGCAAUGGACGCAAGUCUGACGGAGCAACGCCGCGUGAGUGAAGAAGGUUUUCGGAUCGUAAAACUCUGUUGUUAGAGAAGAACAAGUGCUAGAGUAACUGUUAGCGCCUUGACGGUAUCUAACCAGAAAGCCACGGCUAACUACGUG
rnacentral:rRNA from 1 species